rnacentral:rRNA from 1 species
GAUGAACGCUGGCGGCGUGCCUAAUACAUGCAAGUCGAGCGAACAGACGAGGAGCUUGCUCCUCUGACGUUAGCGGCGGACGGGUGAGUAACACGUGGAUAACCUACCUAUAAGACUGGGGUAACUUCGGGAAACCGGAGCUAAUACCGGAUAAUAUAUUGAACCGCAUGGUUCAAUAGUGAAAGACGGUUUUGCCGUCACUUAUAGAUGGAUCCGCGCCGGAUUAGCUAGUUGGUAAGGUAACGGCUUACCAAGGCAACGAUGCGUAGCCGACCUGAGAGGGUGAUCGGCCACACUGGAACUGAGACAAGGUCCAGGCUCCUACGGGAGGCAGCAGUAGGGAAUCUUCCGCAAUGGGCGGAAGCCUGACGGAGCAACGCCGCGUGAGUGAUGAAGGUCUUCGGAUCGUAAAACUCUUUUAUUAGGGAAGAACAAAUGUGUAAUUAACUAUGCACGUCUUGACGGUACCUAAUCAGAAAGCCACGGCUAACUACGUG